GUCAUGCUGGCUGAUUUCACACCAUCGGGUAUAGCGCAGCCGGGAUUAUUUGAUGAAAUCCAGCCCCGUAAAAACAGUGAAAAGUUAAUGAAAACACUCGAUGAACUGAACCAGUCGGGAAAAGGGAAAGUGUGGUUUGCGGGGCGAGGAACCGCCCCUGAAUGGCAAAUGAAACGGGAAAUGUUGAGUCAGUGUUAUACAACUAAAUGGCGAGAUAUUCCCCUGGCCAGGCUGGGUUAGUUCAGUCAUCUCCGAACAUAUUUUCAGCGUUUCUUCUGGUCUAGUCUUCACCGUCAUUUCUCGACAGACUCUGCUCUGUAAGGGGAGUACUGCAAUCCACAGACGUAUGGAAACCAGAUUGUUUUUCCAGUAAUUCAAUCAAUUUCUUUUCAACCGAAAAAGCAGGUAAUGACUC
rnacentral:rRNA from 1 species